rnacentral:lncRNA from 1 species
GAGGAGAUAUAACUAAGUCUGUGACACAGAGUUGGUGGAAGAUGCCAAAGUAUCCAUGCUAACUAAAUAUCUGGUUCAGUUUUACAGUGGUUUUAUUAAAGCCUCUUGUGUCAGUCCCUGUGCAUUCCAUUGGAGGGCUUGAUCCUCAAGGUGCAUAAGGUUUAGAACCCAGACUUGGAAACCCAAAUACAGCCUACUGGGAUAAAUAUUAUGUUACAAAUAAAUAUGGAGUACUAUGGAAGUAUGAAAAAAGGAGACUGAAGCCAGUCUGAGGAGCAGAAAAGACUUUUAGAAAGUCUGAGUUGAAUAUUGAAGGGCAUUUACUAGGCAAAGGAAGGCAGAAAGAAGUAUUGGAAUAGAGCAUUCCAAGCAAAAAGAAUAGCAUAAGCAAAAGUAGAAAGUUGAAGAAGCCUGGUGUGUGGCUGGAAGUACAAGCUUUUGAGUUGGCUAGUGUAAAGCCUAGAGUAAGGUGGCAAGUGUUGAGGAAGGAGCUAAAGAGGUGGCAGGGAUCUGAUUGUGGAUGUUUUCUCUGGUGACCCUUGGGGGUGGGAGAGACAGAAAGAAGCAAGUUACUGUGGAGGCCAGUGUGAAAGGUGUUGCAAGAUUCCAGUUAAUAUGCAAUGAGGUUUAAACCAGGGCAGUGGCUAUGAAGAUACCAGAGAUAUUAACCCACAUUUCUUUUUUCCCCUUUUACUAUGAACAUUUGCAAACAUUCAGAAGUCAUUUUCCAUGAACACCCAUAUAUAUCCACCAUCUAGAUUUUACAAUUAGCAUGUUACCACACUUGCUUUGUCACACAUAUCUAUUCAUCCCUCUAUCCAUCAACCCAUUUUAUUUUUUAUGUGCUUCAAAUUAGACAUUUGUAUAUGUCCCCUGAAACUAGUUAACUAGAGUUUAACAUACAGUUGUGAUUCUUUUUUAGCUAAAAUUUCCAAAUAAUGGAAUGUGCAUAUCCUAAAAAUAUAGUUUUAUAUGUUUUGAUAAAUGUACAAACCUGUGUAACCUACACCCCUAUCAAGAUACAAAACAUCCUUGAUAGAGAGAGUUCCCAGGUGUUCCUUCCCAGUCAAUCACAGCCCUUCCCCUUCCAGAAUAGGCCUGGAGUUUAAAAGUGUAGGAUUUGAAAUGUGUGAAAAUAGAAAGAUGACCCAGGUGGAGAAAGCUUGAGUGGCUCUCUCUCCAAUGAAGUCAUGAAGGCAGGUAACCAUAAAAGAUACACAAGCAUUAGUAAACAAGCUUGAAUGGAUGCCUUUCAGCUUCCUCCCAUCCCCCUACAGAGGCUCAUCUUUAUAGGUCAGUGCAUGAAACAGUGAAACAAAGAACAGUGGAGUCAAGGGAAUGCCCCAUCGUCAGGAGUUUACAACUUGCAGGGGGAGACAAACACUGAUAGUCACAGUUAAGUGUAAGAAAUGUUGAAUGUUGCAUUGCACCAGGGUCAGUACUAUAACAGAAAAGAAUGGAAAAUGAGGUAAAAUACAAGUGCCCUAAGGGUUUGUGGUGUGUGUGUAUAUGUAUGUAGACGAGAGGGGAUCAGGGAACAGGGAGAGAGAAGGUGAAUGAUUCAGACUCUUGGGACUGGAGGAGCUCAAAGGAAAAAGGGAAAAAGAACACUUAAGCAGCCAUGAAAAAUUUCCUGGACGUGAGAGGAGUCAACUCUUGAAGAUUGUUUACUUUGAUACUAAGUGUGGUAGACAUAAAAAUGUUUUAAGUUACAAAUAACAGAAAACCCAAGUCAAGCAUGGAACAUUAACUCAUAAUUGCAAAGUCUAGAAGUAUGUGGAUUUUUGGCACAGUUUUAAUCAGAGCUUUGGUUCUGAUUAUCUCAGUUCUGCCCUCCUGUGUGCUAGCUUUGUCUUCAGAUACUUCUUCAUGAUUACAAGAUGGCUGAACACAGCACAAUGCUUCCACUUGUUCUUAUUUGCCAUCUAUACAUCCUCUUUGGUUGAAAGUGCCUGUUCAAGUUUUUUGAUAUUUUUAUUUAUUUAUUUUUAUUUAUUUAUUUUUAAGUUUUUUGAUAUUUUUAAUUGGCCUAUGUGUUUUCUUACAAUUGAGCUUUGAGAACUUUUUAUGUAUUUAGGAUAUAAGUUAUUUAUUGAAUAUAUGAUUUGCAAAUAUUUUCUCCCAGUCUAUAGCUUGUCCUUUUAUUCCCUUAUCAGUAUCUUAUACAGCAACCCUUUUUAAUUUUGACAAAUUCUAACUUAACAAUUUUAUUUAUUUUAUGAAUUUUCAUGCUUAAAAGUUCUUCGUUUAACCUUCAGUAAUGAAAUUUUUCUAUGUCUUAAAGUUUUAUAGUUUUAUGUUGUAUAUUUAUAACCCAUUUUAAGAUAAUUUUUGUAUACUGUAAAACGUUUAAGUCAAGGUUCUUUUUUGACCUAUGAAAUCUCCAGUUAUAUCAACAGCACAUGUUGAGAAAAUUGUCCUUUCUCUAUUGUAUUCCCUUUGCCCCUUUGUCAAAAAUCAGAUAGCUGUACUUGUAUGUGUCUAUUUCUGGAGUCUCUAUUCUAUUACAUUGAUCAUAUGUUUUUUUUUAAGAUUUAUUUUUAUUUAUUUAUGAUAGACAUAGAGAGAGAGAGAGGCAGAGACACAGGCAGAGGAAGAAGCAGGCUCCAUUCCGGGAGCUUGAUGCGGAACUCGAUCCCGAGACUCCAGGAUCGUGCCCUGGGCCAAAGGCAGCCGCGAAACCGCUGACCCACCCAGGGAUCCCCUGAUCAUAUGUUUCUAUCCUUCUACCAGUACAUUAAUGUUUUCAUUACUGUAGCUAUAUGGUACAAUAUCAAGUUGAGUGAUUCCCCCCAUUCUAUUUUUCUUUAUCAAGAUUGUUUAGCUAUCCCAGAGCCUGUGUCUUUUCAUAUAGAUUUUAGAAUAGGCUUUUCUGUGCCUACAGAUAUCUUGCUGGUAUUUUGAAAGGAAUUGCUUAAAUAUACAGAUUUUUAUUUGUAGAGAAGUGACAUAUUGCAGGUUUUUAAAUACUCGUACAUUUUUAUAUAAUUUUUAAUUGAAGUAUAAUAUGCAUACAGAGGAGGGCACAAACUCUAACGGCACAGAUUGAGGAAUUGUUAUGAACUGAACACAUCUGUGUAAUCAUUACCUAGUUCAAGAAAUAUAAUGAGUAGCACCUAGGAGAUUGAGUCUUAACACAAAAAACAUAGGAGAUAAGCUCAUAGACUCACUUGAGAUGAAGUAUUUAAAGAUUUAUACCCUCAGGAAAAGGUAUAUUUUCCAAAAUACACUUCCCACUGGCAUAUGGACACAAUGAAGCAGCUUGUCUGUCUUGGCCUGGGCUUUUGAAAGGGGACAAAUUUUUGCCUAUAUAAGUUCUUAAUCAUGUAGUGGAGCUUCACAUGGGUUUGUAAUUCAAGCCUGUACUGCUCAUGUGUUUCCAGAACCCACAACUUGUGAAAUGAACGAAAAAUUAGUCUCGCUGGGGCAGCUGGCAAAAGCAAACACCAAACCUCUCAGUAUGAAACGUCUGUAAGCCAGGUUAAACAAGAAUUUCAUAAAUACAACCCAGUUGAACAUAAAUUAAUUCACAAUAAGCAAGAGAAAACACAACAAACAAUAGGAUUAAACCUCCAUGAACUUCAGAUAAUAGAAGGAUCUAAGAGUUAAUAAAGUAGGUAUGUUAAAAUUGAUUAUGAAUAUAAAAGAAAAACCAUAAAAGAACAAAACACUGUUUUUAAAAAACCAGCAAAUUUGAAAUAAAAAGAACCAACAGAUUUCUAGAAAUGAAAAAUGCAAUAAUUUAAAUUAAUAGAUGAAUUAAACAGAUUAGGCACUGUUGAAGAGAUCAUUUAACUGGGAGACAGAUUUUAGGAUAUUACCCAACAAAUGGCACAUAGAGUUAGAGGAAAAAGGUAAGAAGCUAGAAUAUGUGGGGAAAAAAUGAGAAGCUCUCAUAAAUAAGUAACUGGAGUUGCAGAAGGAAUAAAUAGGGGGAAACAGGGGAAAGAAAUGUACAACUAGUUUGCUCAACACUUCCAUUUGGAAAUAUAUCCAAAAUGUAACUCCUGAUCUUCCCUCCUCAAACCUGCUUCUUCUCUGGCUUCCCUCAUAUUAGUAGAUGGCAACUUCAUCCUCCCAGUUGCUCAAGUCAAAAACUUGGGUAAUCCCUGAUUCAUCUUUCUCUCUCAACCUGUAUCCAAGCUGUAGGCAAAUCCUGUUGGCUUUCCUUCAGAAUGUUUCCAGAAUCUGACCACUUCUCUCUCUGUCUCUCUCAAAAUAAAUACGUAAAUAAAUAAAAUGUUGGAGAAUUCUACUUCAGAGAAGAUGGAGAAGACAUACUUUUCCCUAUUCCCUACACUAAGUGCAACUAAAGCCCCUGGAUAUUAUAUUGAAAACAAACAUGAGACUUUGAAUGGUAGAGAGAAGUCAGAUCCACUAAGGACAUUGGGACGUGAGAAACAAUACUGUGGAGUAAGCUCCUUAGACUUUUUGCAUCAUACGAAACCGGAUGCUGGAGAAACCAACAACCCACAAACACCAACAGAGGCAAACAGGAAAACCCUGCUUUCUCUAGCCAAAGGACCAAUAAAGGGGCAACUUAGCAAUAUAGAAAACUUAGGCAGUGACCAUUCUACUGCAGCAAACCACAGAAAAGCUAUGGCUCCUCCCCAACCCUCAUAAACAACCCAGAGAAUAGCCUAGACUGGGUUGUGAUGAGAGUCUUCAACCUCCCUCCACCUUCCACCAAGGUGGUAUCAGAGAAAGUCAGGUGUAAGCUGGGACUUCCACUCCCACGUGGCAGUAAUGAGGUGACACCACACCUUCCCGAUCCAGAGCCUUCUCAAAGAGGCAAGCUUAAACAGAAGAUUUAACUAAGGUCCUGAGUUUUACAAAAUAAUACCCAAAAUGUCCAGGCUUAAAUAAAAAAAAAAAAAAAUCACCUGCUGUACUAAGAAAAAAACAGGAAAAUCUCGAAUGAGAAAAGACAACAGAGCUAAUACCAAGAUGACACAGAUGAAAAUCUUCUGACAAGUGUUAUAAAGGAGCCAUAAUAAAAAUGCUUCAAUGGGCAAUUUCAAACCCGCUUCAAAUAACUUAAAAAUAUUAAAAGUCUCAACAAAGCAAUAGAAGAUAUAAUGGAGAACCAAAUGGAAAUUUUAGAACCAAAA